rnacentral:rRNA from 1 species
GGCUUGGUCGGCGAGGUUCUUCAAUUUCUGCCCUAUCAACUUUCGAUGGUAGGAUAGUGGCCUACCAUGGUUUCAACGGGUAACGGGGAAUAAGGGUUCGAUUCCGGAGAGGGAGCCUGAGAAACGGCUACCACAUCCAAGGAAGGCAGCAGGCGCGCAAAUUACCCAAUCCUAAUUCAGGGAGGUAGUGACAAUAAAUAACGAUACAGGGCCCAUUUGGGUCUUGUAAUUGGAAUGAGUACAAUGUAAAUACCUUAACGAGGAACAAUUGGAGGGCAAGUCUGGUGCCAGCAGCCGCGGUAAUUCCAGCUCCAAUAGCGUAUAUUAAAGUUGUUGCAGUUAAAAAGCUCGUAGUUGAACUUUGGGCUUGGUCAGCCGGUCCGCUUUUUUGCGUGUACUGGUCCUGACCGAGCCUUUCCUUCUGGCUAACCUGUCUCUCGGGGCAGGCGAACCAGGACUUUUACUUUGAAAAAAUUAGAGUGUUCAAAGCAGGCCUUUGCUCGAAUAUAUUAGCAUGGAAUAAUAGAAUAGGACGUUUGGUUCUAUUUUGUUGGUUUCUAGGACCAUCGUAAUGAUUAAUAGGGACGGUCGGGGGCAUCAGUAUUCAAUUGUCAGAGGUGAAAUUCUUGGAUUUAUUGAAGACUAACUACUGCGAAAGCAUUUGCCAAGGACGUUUUCAUUAAUCAAGAACGAAAGUUAGGGGAUCGAAGAUGAUCAGAUACCGUCGUAGUCUUAACCAUAAACUAUGCCGACUAGGGAUCGGGUGGUGUUUUUUAUAUACCCACUCGGCACCUUACGAAAA